rnacentral:tRNA from 2 species
GGGGCGGUAGCUCAGUUGGUUAGAGCCCCGGACUCAUAAUCCGGUCGUCGUAGGUUCGAGCCCUACCCGCCCCACCA